GACCCCUUAGCUCAGUGGUAGAGUGUGUGAUUCCAGCUAUGUCCUGAGCUUCCACAAAGUCAUCCGUUCAAAUCGGGUAGGGGUCA